CUAUGUUGGCCGGGCGACGGUUGUCCCGGUUUAAGCGUGUAGGCUGGUUUUCCAGGCAAAUCCGGAAAACCAAGGCUGAGGCGUGAUGACGAGGCACUACGGUGCUGAAGUGACAAAUGCCCUGCUUCCAGGAAAAGCCUCUAAGCAUCAGGUAACAUCAAAUCGUACCCCAAACCGACACAGGUGGUCAGGUAGAGAAUACCAAGGCGCUUGAGAGAACUCGGGUGAAGGAACUAGGCAAAAUGGUGCCGUAACUUCGGGAGAAGGCACGCUGAUAUGUAGGUGAAGCGACUUGCUCGUGGAGCUGAAAUCAGUCGAAGAUACCAGCUGGCUGCAACUGUUUAUUAAAAACACAGCACUGUGCAAACACGAAAGUGGACGUAUACGGUGUGACGCCUGCCCGGUGCCGGAAGGUUAAUUGAUGGGGUUAGCGGUAACGCGAAGCUCUUGAUCGAAGCCCCGGUAAACGGCGGCCGUAACUAUAACGGUCCUAAGGUAGCGAAAUUCCUUGUCGGGUAAGUUCCGACCUGCACGAAUGGCGUAAUGAUGGCCAGGCUGUCUCCACCCGAGACUCAGUGAAAUUGAACUCGCUGUGAAGAUGCAGUGUACCCGCGGCAAGACGGAAAGACCCCGUGAACCUUUACUAUAGCUUGACACUGAACAUUGAGCCUUGAUGUGUAGGAUAGGUGGGAGGCUUUGAAGUGUGGACGCCAGUCUGCAUGGAGCCGACCUUGAAAUACCACCCUUUAAUGUUUGAUGUUCUAACGUUGGCCCCUAAUCGGGGUUGCGGACAGUGUCUGGUGGGUAGUUUGACUGGGGCGGUCUCCUCCUAAAGAGUAACGGAGGAGCACGAAGGUUGGCUAAUCCUGGUCGGACAUCAGGAGGUUAGUGCAAUGGCAUAAGCCAGCUUGACUGCGAGCGUGACGGCGCGAGCAGGUGCGAAAGCAGGUCAUAGUGAUCCGGUGGUUCUGAAUGGAAGGGCCAUCGCUCAACGGAUAAAAGGUACUCCGGGGAUAACAGGCUGAUACCGCCCAAGAGUUCAUAUCGACGGCGGUGUUUGGCACCUCGAUGUCGGCUCAUCACAUCCUGGGGCUGAAGUAGGUCCCAAGGGUAUGGCUGUUCGCCAUUUAAAGUGGUACGCGAGCUGGGUUUAGAACGUCGUGAGACAGUUCGGUCCCUAUCUGCCGUGGGCGCUGGAGAACUGAGGGGGGCUGCUCCUAGU
rnacentral:rRNA from 1 species